GAAGAUGAGGAUCUUCUGUUGUGAGAACAAUGAUGAGACAAAAAAUAGAACAGCUCUUCAGCAGCUCUAAUACUUGCACAGGACUUUCAUCUGUCGUAAAUUGUUUGAUAAGCCACAUCUGCUGACACAUUCAUUCCCUUUUAUACAGCUAUUGUAGGUGUGACAGCUCCAUUUUUAUCCAGCUACCUCAGCUGCAGAAGUAAGCGCUUGAUUCUUUAUUUUGUUUCACUUUAGUCUUAACGCCUAUAAUCACUUAACAUUUCUAAAACUAGGCUUGAGUAAUCUAUAAUACAUAUCUUAUAAUGUAUUACAAAUACAGUAUAAAAGUAAGCCUUUAUUUAAAAAAAAAGGUGACGUGGUGGUUUUUUUUUGCGUAUAUGCCUUUCUAUUAAGCUUAUUAGCAUCGUCAAAAAUAAAUGAUAAAGGCAUAUCACAUAACUAUGAAAUAGGAUCUGACCUGAUUGAAAACUGAAACUUCUCAGAAUUCGGAUAGAACUACAUACGGUUGGUGUGGUGCAUCGCAGCCAAUAGCCAUCCACCUUAACGGGGGCUUCCUUGACUCUUACGUUCUGAAAACUUGGACGUGGAUUUUGUUGGCUCAGAAACCUAAAGCCCACGAGUGAUGAGCCAUGGUUAGAACUACGAAGGCAUCCCGUGAUUUUGUCUAGAUUCAUUUAUCAGACUAGUUUCUUCACUUCCACAAUACUGAAGGUGGUGUGUAUGGUUAUCACUCUUAUUAACGUACCUAAUAGACUCCUGAGGUAGUCCAGACUCUGACAGAAUGGCUGUUCCAAGUCACGGUGCAAAUUUC
rnacentral:lncRNA from 1 species